GACGUAGGGCGCGAGCGUUGUCCGGAUUUAUUGGGCGUAAAGAGCUCGUAGGCGGUCUGUUGCGUCGGCUGUGAAAACCCGGGGCUCAACUCCGGGCCUGCAGCCGAUACGGGCAGACUAGAGUUCGGCAGGGGAGACUGGAAGUUCCUGGUGUAGCGGUGAAAUGCGCAGAUAUCAGGAGGAACACCGGUGGCGAAGGCGGGUCUCUGGGCCGAUACUGACGCUGAGGAGCGAAAGCGUGGGGAGCGAACAGGA
rnacentral:rRNA from 1 species